rnacentral:rRNA from 1 species
UACGUAGGGGGCAAGCGUUGUCCGGAAUCAUUGGGCGUAAAGCGCGCGUAGGCGGCCCGGUAAGUCCGUUGUGAAAGUCAAAGGCUCAACCUUUGAACGCCGAUGGAUACUGCCGGGCUAGAGUCCGGAAGAGGCGAGUGGAAUUCCUGGUGUAGCGGUGGAAUGCGCAGAUAUCAGGAGGAACACCAAUAGCGAAGGCAGCUCGCUGGGACGGUACUGACGCUGAGGACGAAAGCGUGGGGAGCGAACAGG